rnacentral:rRNA from 1 species
AUUGAACGCUGGCGGAAUGCUUUACACAUGCAAGUCGAACGGCAGCACGGACUUCGGUCUGGUGGCGAGUGGCGAACGGGUGAGUAAUGUAUCGGAACGUGCCCAGUCGUGGGGGAUAACGUAGUGAAAAUUACGCUAAUACCGCAUACGAUCUAUGGAUGAAAGCGGGGGAUCGCAAGACCUCGCGCGAUUGGAGCGGCCGAUAUCGGAUUAGGUAGUUGGGGGGGUAAAGGCCCACCAAGCCAACGAUCUGUAGCUGGUCUGAGAGGACGACCAGCCACACUGGAACUGAGUCACGGUCCAGACUCCUACGGGAGGCAGCAGUGGGGAAUUUUGGACAAUGGGCGAAGGCCUGAUCCAGACAUUCCGCGUGCAGGAUGAAGGCCCUCGGGUUGUAAACUGCUUUUGUACAGAACGAAAAGGUUUCUACUAAUACUAGGAGCUCAUGACGGUACUGUAAGAAUAAGCACCGGCUAACUACGUGCCAGCCGCCGCGGUAA